GACGAACGCUGGCGGCGUGCUUAACACAUGCAAGUCGAACGGAAAGGCCCCUUUGGGGGUACUCGAGUGGCGAACGGGUGAGUAACACGUGAGUAACCUGCCCUUGACUUCGGGAUAACUUCAGGAAACUGGGGCUAAUACCGGAUAGGAAUCCUUGCUGCAUGGUGGGGGUUGGAAAGCUUCGGCGGUUUUGGAUGGACUCGCGGCUUAUCAGCUUGUUGGUGGGGUAGUGGCUUACCAAGGCUUUGACGGGUAGCCGGCCUGAGAGGGCGACCGGCCACAUGGGGACUGAGAUACGGCCCAGACUCCUACGGGAGGCAGCGGUGGGGAAUAUUGCACAAUGGGCGGAAGCCUGAUGAAGCAAGGCCGCGUGCGGGAUGACGGCCUUCGGGUUGUAAACCGCUUUCAGCAGGGGCGAAGCUUGUGGUGACGGUACCUGCAGAAGAAGCACCGGCUAACUACGU
rnacentral:rRNA from 1 species